GACGAACGCUGGCGGCGUGCUUAACACAUGCAAGUCGAACGAAGAGCGAUGGAAGCUUGCUUCUAUCACUCUUAGUGGCGAACGGGUGAGUAACGCGUAAUCAACCUGCCCUUCAGAGGGGGACAACAGUUGGAAACGACUGCUAAUACCGCAUACGAUCUAAUCUCGGCAUCGAGGAUAGAUGAACGGUGGCCUCUACAUGUAAGCUAUCACUGAAGGAGGGGAUUGCGUCUGAUUAGCUAGUUGGAGGGGUAACGGCCCACCAAGGCGAUGAUCAGUAGCCGGUCUGAGAGGAUGAACGGCCACAUUGGGACUGAGACACGGCCCAGACUCCUACGGGAGGCAGCAGUGGGGAAUCUUCCGCAAUGGACGAAAGUCUGACGGAGCAACGCCGCGUGAGUGAUGACGGCCUUCGGGUUGUAAAGCUCUGUUAAUCGGGACGAAAGGCCUUCUUGCGAAUAGGGAGAAGGAUUGACGGUACCGGAAUAGAAAGCCACGGCUAACUACGUG
rnacentral:rRNA from 1 species